UCCCCUCCUCCCUCCCUCCCAGCCCCCUCUGUUUGCUUCUCCUCCUCCCCCUGCCUUGUGACACGGAGAGGGAGAGGCAGAGGGAGAGAGAAGGGCUCUUCCCUGGCAGCUCCUCUCUGCCGGUGCUGCAGUCAUGGCUGCGGAGGGGGUGGACGAGCGGUCCCCGCUGCUCUCGGCGCCCAGCUCCGGCAGCGUCACCCCGACCGCGCCUCCCUAUCUGCCCGACGGCAGCCCCCGAGCAGAACUCCCACCUCCAUAUACCGCCAUUGCCAGUCCAGAUGCCAGUGGUGUUCCUGUAAUAAACUGCCGUGUGUGCCAGUCUCUAAUCAAUUUGGAUGGCAAGCUUCACCAGCAUGUUGUUAAGUGCACAGUUUGCAAUGAAGCUACGCCAAUCAAAAACCCUCCUUCAGGGAAGAAGUAUGUUAGAUGUCCAUGUAAUUGUCUCCUAAUCUGUAAGGAUACAUCUCGAAGAAUAGGCUGUCCAAGACCCAACUGUAGACGCAUCAUUAAUCUUGGUCCAGUGAUGUUGAUUCCAGAAGAACAGCCAGCUCAGCCUGCCGUGUCUGUUCAGCCAGAUGGUACUAGGGUAGUGUGUGGACACUGUGGAAAUACAUUUUUGUGGAUGGAACUGAGGUUUAACACUCUGGCAAAAUGCCCGCACUGCAAAAAAAUGGGCCCUGUGGGCUGGAUAGAAUGUCCCGGUGGGCCGCAUCCAGCCCGUGAGCCACAUUUUGUCCACCCCUGGACUAGAUGACCUCUGGAGGUCCCUUUUAGCCCUACUUCUCUAUGACUCUGACACCAUUAAGCAACAAGGCAAGUUGUUUCUAGUGUUGGCAGGGUAUUACCAAUGCUUUAUUCUCAGUUUUCAAUUAUUACAGUGAUACUGACCUACUUUAUGGUGUGGCACGCAAGAAGAUAUGAUGAUCUGCCGAGCGUGCGGAAGCUUUUAGGACUAUAAAGUGGCUCCUGCAUAGUGCCCCUGUACUGUGUAGCAUGGAUUUCACAAAAUAACUUAUAUUGCGGAAUCUCCCUUCAGAACAAGGCUUUGGAGCUGCUUUAUUCCAGGAAUUUGGGAGAAUCCUAUUUUUAAGAAGGAAACUCCUUCUCCAGGAACAGAAAUAUGUUAUGGUUGCAAUUAAGUGGGUCAUUGAGACCCUUCAAAACUACCUCCUGAGCACUUCUUCUGUCCUUGUUACUGACCCUGCCCUACUAACACAGCUGCAUGCAAUGUGGGUGGCUAACACCAAGUUGAUAAGAUGGUAACUGGCCCUACAACAAUAUGUUUUUUUUCUGUCUGAAACUAUGCCAGGGUAGCACAUGCAAAUUAAGAUUUUUUUUCUGUCCCAGGAGGGGGGCUUAAACAUGCAGACUUCAGUCUUGAGGAGAGGAUAUGUGAGAAAGUACUUAGUCUUCAGGAGCCUGAAACCCAGUGGCAAGUGGCUAGCUGCUAAUAGUCUGCUCGGCCAGAAGGAUGCGAGCCAGCUCUGAUGGAUAACUAGUAAAUGGGAGUGCAGCCACAAAGAAGCUCCAUAUCUCCAGGAGCAGGGAACAAGGGGUGAGAAGAGAGGAGGCUGUGAUGCUGAGGGAGAAGCACGGAGUCUGGGUUGUCCCUGUCAAGGUCUGAAGAAAGACAGGUUUUGGUUUUGUUGAUUGUUUGCAGGCUUGUUUGUUUUGUUACUUUUGUUGAGUCAUGGAAAUAGAGGUGGGUGAGAGUGGUGUCCAGGGCAGGUGCCCAGUUAGGAGGGGCACCAUAAGGGCACCCAGUCCCCGUGAAGUCUGCCCUGAUAGCAUUCCCAUGCUGGGAACUCCAAAACAGUCUCUGGCUGCUGCCGCUUUUAAGAGCAACAGCCAGGGCAGGCAGAGCACAGGCACUGGCAAAAGCAGUGCUCAUUCCUGCUGUUGGAUCCUAUGCCCUGCUCUUGCAUCCCAUUCCUUCCCUUCCUCUUGGACCCUGUACCCUCCCCCUUGCUCUCGAAACCACGUGCCUCCCCCCACCUCUCUUCCACAGGGUUUGUCCCAGGCAGCAGCUCUUGUUGUUAUGCCACUGGUUUUAUUUACUGGGGACAAGUUCACCCCAUAUAAAAUAAAUUGGCUGGAAAUCCCAAGCACAGAGCUGACUGACCUUAAUAAGGAAAGUGCAAGUGAUUUGCUUACAGGCUCAAUACUGAUGUUUCUUUUGAGAAGGACAAACUUCCAGGUAUGCUGAGACAAGCAGUUAUUAAAUGUUUACUUAAGAAGUCCUUUUUUGUCAAGAGCUUAAUAUGGUUUAUUGUAGACAUCUCUAAGAAAAUGGUGGUGGGUCAACUUCAUUCCUCAGGGUAUAUUGGUCCAUAUGGCUGUGUCCACACAAGCGCAGACAUUUAUUCCCCAGGGACAAGUAGCAAUGACGCACCUUGUGUUGCUGUUAUUUGUCCCUGAGGAGUGCCCAUACCAUGUGCCCUCUGGCACAUGGCAGGUUACCCCAGGUGGGGUAGGGGAGGCUGGGGCCAGCAACUAUGCUAGCCCCAGCAGUCUUACCUGGGGUCCCAGGGGCCUCAGGGUGCUGCAGCUACAGCACUUUUCCUGCAGCUAGGAGCUUGGCCAACUGCUGAAACAAGCAUGGCUUCAGCCAGCAAGACUCUGGUUUUGGAUGGUGCAUGCUGCCACCAUGUGUGCCACCCUGCUUUUUUUGGCAUGGGUGUUUUUUGACCCCGGGAUAUCCUGGGGUCAGAAAACAUCCCCAUGUUGCAAGGCAGAAUGAGGAAGACCUGCAUGUGCGGUGUGGUGCCACAAAUGGGUCUGCAGUGCCACAUACUGCAUGUCUGUGCUCAUCUGGACACAGCGUAUGAGACUGGCUCCAGCCAUUGGUACAGCCAAAAAACAGUUAAGGCACUGUUGGUGUUUAGUGUUCCUUUGGCAGUAGAUAAAGUUUCUCUUAUGAUUUUUUUUUUAAUGGGAUCUCUCAGCCAUCUACCAGACAGUAAUGCUGGCUCACUUCAAAGUCUAGUGAAGAUGGAAGUGGCUCCCCCCCUUUUCAUUUAUUUGCAUUGAAUUUGAAUUAGUUUGGCUCACUGGCUCAUGUGUAACCUUAUUGUUUAAAACACGGGUAUUAAAACAUUAAGGGAUAGCAAAUGAAGUUUGUAAUGUGCUGGAUAACUUUUUAAAUCUAGGGUCCAGUGGCUCUGAUGGUAAUAAUACUUGCUAAACUAAAAAUGAAAUGUGGAUAGUCAAUCAGACCAAGUUGUAGAACUAAAAAAUCAGAGUACUUUUCAUGGUACUAAACACACUUGCCCUGCCACCCUGUUGGGGGAAGUUAAAGACCAAACUAGUAGAACCAACCUGGUGCCUUUACAAACUUUGUACAAAAAGCUGUUCUGGUUAUACUCUUUGCAAUAUUUCAGGUGCUGCUUCAAAAUUUUGAGGUUGCUAUCCUAAACUCACCUUUAAUAAAAUGUUCUACCUUAAAUUGUUCUGGUCUGUGCUAGGCUGGGCUGACAGUUGUGCUUACUGCCAUUUGCCUCUCACUCCAAAAGUUGCCAUGUAGCAAUAGGGCAAUUAAUAGAGAUACUUUCUCUUCUGUUGACUACAUAACUUAAAAGCAGCAGAGAAAUGGCGAUGGAUUAAGAAUACUUAAAGUAGAACAGGGGGAUGGAAGAAUACUUGAGCAUCCAUGCAAAAGAUUGUGAUUUGGGCUGGUUAUACUUUUGGUGUCAGGUCUCCUGGCUCUCCUAAUACUCAAAACAAAUAUAACUAAAGGUAUUAGUUUUGUGGAGAAGUUGCAUACCCUUCUAUAACACGGGUGGGCAAAAUGCGGCCUGUGGGCCAGAUGCAGCCCACCAGGCCGUUCUAUCCAGCCCGUGGGGCCCUUAAAAAAUUUAGAAAAUUAAUAUUUAUCUGCCCCUGACUGCCUGUCAUAUGGCCCUCAAUGGCUUGCCAAAACUUAGUAAGUGGCCCUCCACCCAAAAUAAUUGCCUGUCCCGAAGUUUCAGUAGUUAGCUGUUAGUUGGUCUCAUCCAAUCUGAUUAUGAGGAUGGUCAGUCAUUGGAACAUGCUACAUAAGGUAUCUCCAUUCUUGAAAAUUUCCAAGAGCGGGCUGGACAGGCACUCGGCUGGAAUGGUUUUUAGUCAGGGAUGAUCCUGCCUUGAGCAGGGGCUGGAUGAGAUCACCUCGUGAAGUCUCUUUCAGCCCUACUUUCCUGUGAUCCCAUGAUUCUUUCUAUUUUGCUUCUGCAACCUUUAUUAGGCAAUUUUAGAAAGGAAUUUCAAGAGCAGUGCUGUAGUCAGAUUUAUUUAGGUUGGCAGGUUUGAAGACAAGGUGCCUUCCUCGAAGUCUUUGUAGUGCAGCUUUCAAAGGAUUUGUUUACUUUGCUCACUGAUGGCGAUUUGUGCAGUUAAUUUGUAGUAUAUCUCAACUGGAAACCUGGAAAUGAUUGAUUCACCUAGCUACUUGAAAUGGACUUAAAGUUCCUCUGUUGGAAGUGCACUACCAAGAAGGCGCUGCUGUGCAUACAUUACUAUUGGAAUGAUAUGCAUUUUCA